CUUCCCCCCGCUCCUCAUUCCCCUAACCCUAGCCCAUUCUCCACGUCGCCGCCACCACCUCCCGUCCCCUGGCGCCGCCACCACGCCCACUCGCCGUCGCUCCUUCCCCUCCUCCCCGCCCUCUCGCUGCUCAGCAAGAGGAGCACGGCUCGCCGCCGGCCCUCACGCACCGCCUCCCUCCUCCUCUCCUCCUCCGCGUCGGGACCGGCUAGGGUUCGCACUCUCUCUCUCCCUCAGAUCUCUCUCCCGCCGCCGCCACGCUCCCUCUCUCCGGCAUGAGCCUCCAACUGUACUAUGUCCUGACCAGGAUGAUUUCAUUAGAGAGUGGAGCGGGGAGCCGGAGAGCGAGCCUCUCCUUUCAGUGCCGCUGUCACUGUCGCUGUCGAGGGUUCUAGUGCACGUGGCGGGGGUUCAUUCUAAUUCGUCCCUGCUCUGCUCUGGCGGCCGGGUUUAAAUCGGCAGCGGCGGUGGCAUCAGGUGGCCCUGAAGUAGGAGGUAGAUUGUGGUGGCGUUCAGGGACUCGCUCAAGGUGCUCGAGGUUGACAUCCAGCAUGCGAACACCCUGUUUGGAGCGUGUGUUGUUCACCAUGUCGUGAAUUCAUCUCUGGCGGUCUGCCACAGGCCGUCCGAGUGCUCGAGGGACUACGACAGGGCGUGCCUGCAGAUGCGCAUGUCCUACAGCCCCGCCAUGCACAUCUUCCUCUUCAUCAUGAAGUGGACCAACUGCAGCCUCGCCGGCACGGUCGGCCUCCUCAGGAUACUCUUGUCCAUCUGCUUAUGUGGACGGCACCACCACAAUGUCCACCCAUGAAAGGAAGGCCAGCAUCAGGGAGAUAAACGCUCUGUACAUAACUGAAAACAAUAGCAGAUGUUCUCACUAUGGUAAACGCUUUGUUCAUCAAUUCGUGUGCAGAAAAUACCAAAGGAAGACCGGUGGGACUAUGGUUUGGUGAGCGGAGCUUUACUAGGACUGAGUAUGACGAAGAAGCAUGGAUGCAAGAAAUUUCCCCUGAAAAUAGGACUUGAGAAAUAACAUGCUUGGAGGUCGCUGUCUACCAUCUCUCUCUGACUGCCCCUCCUCCCAUUGACAUGGCAUGCUGGUCACCGUUGUGUCUCCCGCUGGCUUGCCCCUCGCCAUCGUCGGGAGGGUUUUGUGGGCUGUUCUGCAUUGAAAUCCAUAUAACUUUGAAAAGGUCACCACCGUGCCGUCUCUCUCUCUCUGACUGCCCCUCCCAUCGUCUUGGUUUGCUGGAUGCCGUUGUGUCCCCCGCCAGUUCGCUCGUCGCCAUCGCUUGAUGGGUUGUGUAGGCUGCCGCUCAUGCAAUUGCUCUGCAGUGACCAGUGAGGACCAUGGCAUCGAGACAGCCCAAAAGGGAAACACCGCCGACCACCGCACCGGUGGAGGCCUCCCUGUCUGCCGGCAACUGGAUACCACCGCUUGUGAAAGGGGGCAUCACCAUGAUACAUAGAUGUGGAUGACAUUGCUCAAAGGUGUUCUCUCAUUGUCGCACUACUGGCCACCUCUCCUCUCCAUAGCGCUCAAUUCCGUGACAGGAGCCUGUUUUGUGUGCCGCACGGCUAUCCCAAAGGUGUAGCUGUCGUUGUACAGAGUUGUACUUCCUUGCCGAAAACCUCUACAAUUCUGUAGUGUCAGCUAUGACCUGGAUAGAGGUGUUUAGACUCCCUAAGAUGGCACAUGUCACUGAGGAGACGUGAUCUCCGAGCAGCCCUUCUCAUAGCUCGCAGUCCAGGUCGAUGCCAAAUUCAACUUCGAGGAGGCUUUUUGUGCUGUGGCUGCAGCAUUAAGCAUUUGAAUGGAGCACAUAUAGGCAUGCCCCGGUUCAUUUUAGAGUCACUUGGUUGUUUGAUGCGUUUGUGCUCGUCGGCGGGACGGUGCAAGGCGCAACUCCGACGCGGUUCCUCGCCAGUUGGACGGCAUUCAGGCGCAACCCCGGCGCGCACCGAGUACUUCCUUGGCUAUAACCUCCCUCGAAAUUUAGUUCAUAUGAAAGAAAAGAAAGGCAUACAGUACCUGGCAUUGACAUUGGGAGCAUGGGCUACUGCUCGCACCUCUACCUACAGGUACUUUAAUUUUAAGUGCAUGCUUACAGAGUUCUAUCAUGCACAAUCAUGUAUGCACACCGGUCUAUCCAGAAGAUUAGGUCGCGGCCCUCUCUGCCCGGGCCGCCAGCUUCCCGGAGGGCCGCAUCCGGCCUGCCGCAAGUACACCUAAGCUGCCGCCUCCCCGGGGGCUGCAAUUGGAAGUGGAUGACCAAGGAGAAGGUGCACGGUGGGGGCCAGGCGCUUAAGUGGGAGGCGGAGCUCGCCUCCCCCAACGACGACGGCUUCGAUCUCAAGUGAAAGUGGGAUGCCAAGUCCAAGCCCGUCGCUGCCGGCAAGACUAAAACCAAGUGGGGCACCGAGGAAGCCAGCAAGGAUGAGAAGAGGCCGACAGUGCGUCCAGAGCAAGGAGAUCCCUGCUGGCUGAGACGUCCAGAUCGAAGUACUUAGCAGAAAAGAUGAGAUUUUUGUGGGGGUUUGGCCCCGAUUUGAAUGAAAUGUAGGAUUUUCAGUACUCCAGUAGCAUACUCCAGUACUUCUUUUAACUAUAUCUGAUUAUAGAUAUUUUAUAUAGUAUCAUAUACUGUUAAGAAACAAUUUUGCUUUUUUGCUUCACAUUGAUGUGGUGGUGUUUUGUCAUAUUUUUAUACCAUGUCUUGAGGAUUUUCAGUUCUUUUGCCGUACAUAACAUGUCAGUCCUUCAGGUUUUUGGGUUUUUCUUCUGCCAUUCCAUCUAUGUGUGUGUAUGUUCUUGAAAACCAUUAGGAUUUGCUUUUGGUAUAUCAUGUGACAUUUUCUAUGACAUGUUCAAAGUGAUGUAAUUAACCAAACUAUUACUCCUAUUAGUGCUUAGUUCCUCC
rnacentral:rRNA from 1 species